UACGUAGGGUGCAAGCGUUGUCCGGAAUUAUUGGGCGUAAAGAGCUCGUAGGCGGUUUGUCACGUCGGCUGUGAAAACCCGAGGCUCAACCUCGGGCCUGCAGUCGAUACGGGCAGACUAGAGUAUGGCAGGGGAGACUGGAAUUCCUGGUGUAGCGGUGAAAUGCGCAGAUAUCAGGAGGAACACCGGUGGCGAAGGCGGCGUCCUGGACCAACACUGACACUGAUGAGCGAAAGCCGGGGGAGCAAACGGG
rnacentral:rRNA from 1 species